rnacentral:lncRNA from 1 species
CCAUUUCCCAAUGAAGCUGGUCCCACCCCACCCACAGAUUGCCCAGAGGCCUGCUGUUACAAUCAGGAAGCCCGCCACAGCUGCAGACCUCAGUGGCUUCUGCAGAAAGCACAUUUAGACUCCUGUAAGGAUCGUUCUGGGGAGAAGCAGGCAGGCAGGCACCCUCAGCCCCAGACACACACCCAAAAUUUACCACAGGGCAAUGCCGGGCAAGUCGGCACACCUACACAGGCACAGCAGGGAAGGAGGAGGACUGAACCAUGUCUCCAGAAAUUAGGUUCAUCCAUCAAAAGACCCUACAGUGUCGCAGCCAGCCGCUCAGAGAGAGUGUCUCACCUCUCGACAACAACAAAAGAAAUCCCCCUCUCCUGGAGGUCGGAGUGGAUACUCUGAGAUUUUUUUUUUUUUUACUCACCUUUGGAGCGAGUAGAGAUGUCCAUCCCCUCCACCACCUCCUGCUCCGUUUUUAUCUCCUCUUCAGCCAAGCUGAAAUAGAACAGAUUAUGUAUGUUUAGGUAGGCUGCAAAUGGUCUCUGUGGGGGCAGCCGCUGAAGAGGCAGAGAGCAAACCCGCCU